UACGUAGGAGGCGAGCGUUGUCCGGAGUUACUGGGCGUAAAGCGCUUGUAGGCGGUCCACCAAGUUUGGGGUGACAGUUGCCGACUUAAUCGGCAAAGUGCCUCAAAGACUGGCGGACUUGAGGGCCACAGAGGGACAUGGAACUCCAGGUGUAGUGGUGAAAUGCGUAGAUAUCUGGAAGAACACCAAAGGCGAAGGCAGUGUCCUGGGUGGUCGCUGACGCUGAGAGGCGAAAGCCAGGGGAGCGAACGGG
rnacentral:rRNA from 1 species